GUCGAACGCUGGCGGCGUGCUUAACACAUGCAAGUCGAACGGUAAGGCCCUUCGGGGUACACGAGUGGCGAACGGGUGAGUAACACGUGGGUAAUCUGCCCUGCACUUCGGGAUAAGCCUGGGAAACUGGGUCUAAUACCGGAUAUUCAGUUCCUGCCGCAUGGUGGGGGUUGGAAAGUUUUUCGGUGCAGGAUGAGCCCCCGGCCUAUCACCUUGUUGGUGGGGUAAUGGCCUACCAAGGCCACAACCGGUAGCCGGCCUGAGAGGGUGAUCGGCCACUCUGGGACUGAUACACCGCCCACACUCCUACGGGAGGCAGCAGCGGGGAAUAUUGCACAAUGGGCGAAAGCCUGAUGCAGCGACCCCCGCUUGGGGGAUGACGUUCUUCGGAUUGGCAACCCCUUCCAGUAGGACGAAAGCGCAGUGACGGUACCUGCAGAGAAGCANCCGGCCAANUACGUGCCAGCAGCCGCGGUAAUACGUAGGGUGCGAGCGUGUCCCGGAAUACUGGGCGUAAAGAGCUCGUAGGCGGUUUGUCGCGUCGUCCGUGAAAACUCGGAGCUUAACUCCGAGCUUGCGGGCGAUAUGGGCAGACUUGAGUACUACAGGGGAGACUGGAAUUCCUGGUGUAGCGGUGAAAUGCGCAGAUAUCAGGAGGAACACCGGUGGCGAAGGCGGGUCUCUGGGUAGUAACUGACGCUGAGGAGCGAAAGCAUGGGUAGCGAACAGGAUUAGAUACCCUGGUAGUCCAUGCCGUAAACGGUGGGCGCUAGGUGUGGGGUCCUUCCACGGAUUCCGUGCCGUAGCUAACGCAUUAAGCGCCCCGCCUGGGGAGUACGGCCGCAAGGCUAAAACUCAAAGGAAUUGACGGGGGCCCGCACAAGCGGCGGAGCAUGUGGAUUAAUUCGAUGCAACGCGAAGAACCUUACCUAGGCUUGACAUAUACAGGACGACGGCAGAGAUGUCGUUUCCCUUGUGGCUUGUAUACAGGUGGUGCAUGGUUGUCGUCAGCUCGUGUCGUGAGAUGUUGGGUUAAGUCCCGCAACGAGCGCAACCCCUGUCUCAUGUUGCCAGCACGUUAUGGUGGGGACUCGUGAGAGACUGCCGGGGUCAACUCGGAGGAAGGUGGGGAUGACGUCAAAUCAUCAUGCCCCUUAUGUCUAGGGCUUCACACAUGCUACAAUGGCUAGUACAGAGGGCUGCGAUACCGUGAGGUGGAGCGAAUCCCUUAAAGCUGGUCUCAGUUCGGAUUGGGGUCUGCAACUCGACCCCAUGAAGUCGGAGUCGCUAGUAAUCGCAGAUCAGCAACGCUGCGGUGAAUACGUUCCCGGGCCU
rnacentral:rRNA from 1 species